rnacentral:tRNA from 1 species
GGUGGGGUGGCUGAGCGGUUGAAAGCACCGGUCUUGAAAACCGGCGUGGGUUGAUAGCCCACCGUGGGUUCGAAUCCCACCCCCACCGCCA